rnacentral:rRNA from 1 species
AAUGAACGCUGGCGGCAUGCCUAACACAUGCAAGUCGAACGAAGGCUUCGGCCUUAGUGGCGCACGGGUGCGUAACGCGUGGGAAUCUGCCCUCAGGUUCGGAAUAACAGCGAGAAAUUGCUGCUAAUACCGGAUGAUAUCGCGAGAUCAAAGAUUUAUCGCCUGAGGAUGAGCCCGCGUAGGAUUAGCUAGUUGGUGUGGUAAAGGCGCACCAAGGCGACGAUCCUUAGCUGGUCUGAGAGGAUGAUCAGCCACACUGGGACUGAGACACGGCCCAGACUCCUACGGGAGGCAGCAGUGGGGAAUAUUGGACAAUGGGCGAAAGCCUGAUCCAGCAAUGCCGCGUGAGUGAUGAAGGCCUUAGGGUUGUAAAGCUCUUUUACCCGGGAUGAUAAUGACAGUACCGGGAGAAUAAGCUCCGGCUAACUCCGUGC